UACAGAGGGGGCAAGCGUUGUUCGGAAUUACUGGGCGUAAAGGGCGCGUAGGCGGCCCGCUAAGUCGAACGUGAAAUCCCUGGGCUCAACCCAGGAACUGCGUCCGAUACUGGCGGGCUUGAAUCCGGGAGAGGGAUGUGGAAUUCCAGGUGUAGCGGUGAAAUGCGUAGAUAUCUGGAGGAACACCGGUGGCGAAGGCAGCAUCCUGGACCGGUAUUGACGCUGAUGCGCGAAAGCCAGGGGAGCAAACGGG
rnacentral:rRNA from 1 species